GAUGAACGCUGGCGGCGUGCCUAAUACAUGCAAGUCGAGCGAACGGACGAGAAGCUUGCUUCUCUGAUGUUAGCGGCGGACGGGUGAGUAACACGUGGAUAACCUACCUAUAAGACUGGGAUAACUUCGGGAAACCGUAGCUAAUACCGGAUAAUAUUUUGAACCGCAUGGUUCAAAAGUGAAAGACGGUCUUGCUGUCACUUAUAGAUGGAUCCGGGCUGCAUUAGCUAGUUGGUAAGGUAACGGCUUACCAAGGCAACGAUGCAUAGCCGACCUGAGAGGGUGGUCGCCCACACUGGAGCGGAGACACGGUCCAGAGGCCUACGGGAGGCAGCAGUAGGGAAUCGUCCGCAAUGGGCGAAAGCCUGACGGAGCAACGCCGCGUGAGUUAUGAAGGUCUUCGGAUCGUAAAACUCUGUUAUUAGGGAAGAACAUAUGUGUAAGUAACUGUGCACAGCGUGACGGUACCUAAUCAGGAAGCCACGGCUAACUACGUG
rnacentral:rRNA from 1 species